rnacentral:lncRNA from 1 species
GUUCCUUGCACUUUUGGAUUAUUCACAUCUCCUGCGUUUCCCGCAUCGUUACCCAAUAUGGUAGCAUAGAUCUUACUGCUACUGUUGCUGCCACUUCUUUUUGUUCUUUCUUCGUUUGUAUUGUUUUUUCUCAUGUAAAAUUCCAUUCCUUUCUUUUUGUACCAGCGCAUCGUGUGUAGGGGGGCGGGCCGAAAUAAACAGGAGCGGGUGUACCCUCGUUGACUAUGCACCUACCCCAGCUCCCUGAGGCCUGUUCUUCGCUUUACUGGUCCCAGAAAACACGGACGGACCAGCGCUCGCCCGGGGCAACGCAGACUACUAAUCUUGCGCCCAAUGCACACUCCUCCUCCCUCCUAACACCUCGGCAGAGCAGGCCCACAUCACCCUAUCCAUCUCGACGGCAGAGAAGUCGCUGAGAAGAUUUAAAGGGACUCCCAGUGCGCCGCGAUGUACAUCGGUCAGAGAAAACCUAACAUGGUGAACAGACGCUGACCAGGAAGCUGCUAAUUGUGAGUCCGUCGCGCCUGGAUUUUUGUAUUACCCACCAUGCCCUUGCAUGAUGGGGGGGACACCUAUUUUUGAGAGGCGGUAUCGGCUCGCCUCUGUCGCAGGGGUUUCAUCAGUUUAGCUGGCUUUUUUACCGCAACCUCCACACCUGCCGCUCCUCGUCGGGGGUUGCUUAUUCGUCAUAACUUAUUUCGCAACUAACCUGCUACUACAGGCCGUCCGGCUAUCUGCGACCUGCCGACCCCCCGGUAGCUUAGAGCUCAGCUGGAAAGUCUGGCUCCACUGAGAAACCAAGACCAACGGGUAGAAUAGGAAGUCUAUCUGAUAUUAUUUGUUUACUUAGCUUUUGAAAGUCUAUAACCAUUAUUUUCUUUGGUUGACCGUUCUCAUCUGUUCCUUUCUAUGAGACAGUCCAUAUGACAGGGUUAUAAAGGCUUUUGCUUUCUUUUAAUAUUUUGAAGUACUUUAAGGUCAAUUAUUUGCACUAAACCUGUCUGCACCGGGGUUUUUGUUUUUAGUUUGAGUUGCCUCUGCUGCCUGCCUUUCGAUGUUAGAGUUGCUUCUGUCGCUUUGUUUUCGUUGAAGUCAAGGUGUUGAAGCUCUUCUUUGAGCUAGAUGCGAAGUUAGAGGAAACAACCGUGAACUACGCGUUGCGCUCGCUAAUCAGUUAUUUUUAUUGUUAUAACACAGUACAACAGCUAAUCUGGGGUGUGAGAAAUUCCAAGUCAGGGUGAUGGUACUAGGUCAGUAUAGUAAACCCUCAAAGGGUUUGGCGUUCGUAUGUGUCAGUUUUUUUUGACCUUUCAGCGAAGACGUUACAGUAAGCACAGUUUGACAAAAACGCUUGUAUCAUUACUGCAUUUACAUUCAUGUCGAUCAUUAAAAGCAUUAUUCACUGCAUUAAAAAAAUUGUAAACUUCGUGACAAAAGGAGACAGCGUUUUAUUUGUAAUUUUCAUGUCAUAUCUUUUGUCAUUAUAGUUUUAUACAACAUCGCUUCGUGUUUGGUAAAAGUUAAAUUUACUUCAAAUCAUCUGUAAUAAAAAGUCAAAAAGUAUAAAAAUAUAAAGUAAAAGUGAGAAAGCAUAUAGUUUAUAUACUAAAUUAGACAGAUGGUUUCAUAAACAUAGGCCCACUCGAGAUUGCGCAGUUAAAUUAGUGAAAAUUUUAAGAAAUGAAAAUUAAAUGUAAACGCCUUUUAUAAAUUUGAUUCAGUGGAGAAACCCAUAAUAACCAAUAGCGGAUGGGGUUCAUAGAUUAAUUUCGGAUUGAUCUGAGGAAACGUGUUUAACGACAAAAUUUCCAUUGUCAAACGCGGAAGAAGUAGAAUGUCUAAAUGCAGAAAUAAAAAACAACAAUCGCGAAUGUUAUGUAAAGAUUAUGAAAUAACUUUUUAGACCUGCAAGAGGGGUUGAAAAUCUUAAAGAGAUAUUGACGGACAUUGUUGUCCAAUAAUAUAAUAUUGAUGAAAUUCAUGGAAAAACAUCUUUAAGAAGUCUAGAGAAUUUUUAUUCCACCCUAAUAGAAUCAAUUCCAGAUGUCAAUGACUUCGAACCGGCCGAAAAAAAAAUUGAAUCAUUAAAGGAAAAAGUUUAAAUAAAA